CCGUGCUAGACGGGGAGGUAGCGGUGCCCUGUACCCGCAAUCCGCUAUAGCGGGGUCGAAUUCCUGCCCGAGGUCGCCCGUCACGCGGUCCGGGCUGGUGGGCCGGGGCGUUGAGGGCCGGGUCCCGCGCAGGGCGGGCCUACAAACCCCGCCAGGUCCGGAAGGAAGCAACGGUACGUGGUCCCCCGCCGGUGCCGUGGGGACACUCGGCCGGAGCUGUCGGCUCGCCGGGCCGCCCGCGUGACACGAUCGACGGCAGGUGCACGG
rnacentral:SRP_RNA from 1 species